CCCGUUGCAAAGGUAGGGGAUGAGGUGUGAUUAGGAGUGAAAAGCUAAUCGAACCCGGAGAUAGCUGGUUCUCCCCGAAAGCUAUUUAGGUAGCGCCUCAUGUGAAUCUUCUUGGGGGUAGAGCACUGUUAUGGCUAGGGGGACAUGGCGUCUUACCAAACCAUGGCAAACUCCGAAUACUUGGAAGUAAGAGCACGGGAGACAGAGCACCGGGUGCUAACGUCCGGACUCAAGAGGGAAACAACCCAGACCGCCGUUUAAGGUCCCAAAUAUUGACUAAGUGGAAAACGAAGUGUGAAGGCUAAGACAGUCAGGAAGUUGGCUUAGAAGCAGCCAUCCUUCAAAGAAAGCGUAAUAGCUCACUGAUCGAGUCCUCAUGCGCGGAAGAUGUAACGGGGCUAAGUCAAUAACCGAAAGCGCGGAUUUGCACGAUGAGUGCAAGUGGUAGGGGAGCGUUCUGUAAGCCUGCGAAGGUGGUUCGAGAGGACUGCUGGAGGUAUCAGAAGUGCGAAUGCUGACAUGAGUAACGUUAAAGCGGGUGAAAAGCCCGCUCGCCGUAAGCCCAAGGUUUCCUGCUCUACGUUCAUCGGAGCAGGGUGAGUCGGCCCCUAAGGCCAGGCUGAGAAGCGUAGUCGAUGGGAAGCAGAUUAAUAUUUCUGCACCAUGUGCAAGUGCGAUGGGGGGACGGAGUGCGAAAGAUCAUCCGGGUGUUGGAUGUCCCGGUUUGUGAGUGUAGAAGGCCGACAGGCAAAUCCGUCGGCAGAUCUUCGAGACAAAGCAUCGAGGUUCUACGGAACCGAAGUGAUCGGAAGUGCUUCCAGGAAAAGCCUCUAAGCUCCAGCUUGCAUAUGACCGUACCGUAAACCGACACUGGUGGGCGAGUUGAAUAUACUCAGGCGCUUGAGAGAACUCGGGAGAAGGAACUCGGCAAAUUGACACCGUAACUUCGGGAUAAGGUGUGCCUUUGUAGCGUGAAGAGAGAAACACUCGGAGCGUGAAGAGGCCUCAGAGAAUCGGUGGCUGCAACUGUUUAUUAAAAACACAGCACUCUGCAAAGACGAAAGUCGACGUAUAGGGUGUGAUGCCUGCCCGGUGCUGGAAGAUUAAGUGAUGGGGUGAGAGCUCCUGAUCGAAGUCCCAGUAAACGGCGGCCGUAACUAUAACGGUCCUAAGGUAGCGAAAUUCCUUGUCGGGUAAGUUCCGACCUGCACGAAUGGCAUAAUGAUGGCCACACUGUCUCCUCCCGAGACUCAGUGAAGUUGAAAUGUUUGUGAUGAUGCAAUCUCCCCGCGGCUAGACGGAAAGACCCCAUGAACCUUUACUGUAGCUUUGCAUUGGACUUUGAACCGAUUUGUGUAGGAUAGGCGGGAGGCAGAGAAAGCGCAACGCCAGUUGUGCCGGAGCCGACGUUGAAAUACCGCCCUGAUUUGUUUGAGGUUCUAACCGCGACCCGUGAGCCGGGUUCGGGACCGUGCAUGGCAGGCAGUUUGACUGGGGCGGUCUCCUCCUAAAGGGUAACGGAGGAGUACAAAGGUACGCUAGGUACGGUCGGAAAUCGUGCUGAUAGUGCAAAGGCAAAAGCGUGCUUGACUGCGAGACCGACAAGUCGAGCAGAUGCGAAAGCAGGUCUUAGUGAUCCGGUGGCUCUGUAUGGAAGGGCCAUCGCUCAACGGAUAAAAGGUACUCCGGGGAUAACAGGCUGAUACCGCCCAAGAGUUCAUAUCGACGGCGGUGUUUGGCACCUCGAUGUCGGCUCAUCUCAUCCUGGGGCUGUAGCCGGUCCCAAGGGUAUGGCUGUUCGCCAUUUAAAGAGGUACGUGAGCUGGGUUUAAAACGUCGUGAGACAGUUUGGUCCCUAUCUGCCGUGGGCGCUGGAAGAUUGACGGGGGCUGCUCCUAGUACGAGAGGACCGGAGUGGACGCACCUCUGGUGUACCGGUUGUCACGCCAGUGGCAUCGCCGGGUAGCUAUGUGCGGAAGAGAUAACCGCUGAAAGCAUCUAAGCGGGAAACUUGCCUGAAGAUAAGUCUUCCCGGAGGCUAGACCUCCCUGAAGAGUCGUUCGAGACCAGGACGUUGAUAGGUCGGGUGUGUAAGCGUUGUGAGACGUUUAGCUAACCGAUACUAAUUGCUCGUGAGGCUUGAUCCU
rnacentral:rRNA from 1 species